CCUACGGGAGACAGCAGUGGGGAAUAUUGGACAAUGGGCGCAAGCCUGAUCCAGCAACGCCGCGUGAAGGAAGAAGGCUUUCGGGUUGUAAACUUCUUUUCUCAGGGACGAAGCAAGUGACGGUACCUGAGGAAUACGCCACGGCUAACUACGUGCCAGCAGCCGCGGUAAUCCGGAGGUGGCAAGCGUUAUCCGGAUUUACUGGGUGUAAAGGGCGUGUAGGCGGGACUGCAAGUCAGAUGUGAAAACCACGGGCUCAACCUGUGGCCUGCAUUUGAAACUGUAGUUCUUGAGUACUGGAGAGGUCAUCGGAAUUCCUUGUGUAGCGGUGAAAUGCGUAGAUAUAAGGAAGAACACCAGUGGCGAAGGCGGAUGACUGGACGGCAACUGACGGUGAGGCGCGAAAGCGUGGGGAGCAAACAGGAUUAGAUACCCUGGUAGUC
rnacentral:rRNA from 1 species